rnacentral:lncRNA from 1 species
CGGGAGCAUAUUUAGAUAACUGGUUAAACUUAUGGCAAUACUCUUUAACAAUCAUUGGGUCCUCUCUCAAGUUCAUAAAUUCUUCUAAUUUUGCGUUCCUUAGCUUCAGAGGAAAGAAUCUAUCUAAGAAGGCCUCUUGGAAUAAUUGCCAAGUCACAACAGUAUCAUUCUCCUCUCUCUCUUCCUCCAUAUCUACACCCAAUCAUAAGCAACAUCCUUUAUUCGUUAGCCAGCUAAUUCAGCACUCUCC